rnacentral:rRNA from 1 species
ACAGAGGGGGCAAGCGUUGUUCGGAAUUACUGGGCGUAAAGCGUGCGCAGGCGGUCUGUUAAGACCGAUGUGAAAUCCCCGGGCUUAACCUGGGAACUGCAUUGGUGACUGGCAGGCUUUGAGUGUGGCAGAGGGAGGUAGAAUUCCACGUGUAGCAGUGAAAUGCGUAGAGAUGUGGAGGAAUACCGAUGGCGAAGGCAGCCUCCUGGGCCAACACUGACGCUCAUGCACGAGAGCGUGGGGAGCAAACAGG